rnacentral:tRNA from 1 species
GUUUUAAUAGUUUAUUACAAAACAUUGGUCUUGUAAACCAAAAUUAAGUUUCACUUUUAAAGCU